GGAGGGAUGGCCGAGCGGUUUAAGGCGCAUGUCUUGAAAACAUGUAUGGGAGAAAUUUCAUCGUGGGUUCGAAUCCCACUCCCUCCGCCA
rnacentral:tRNA from 2 species